CCUACGGGUGGCAGCAGUGGGGAAUAUUGGGCAAUGGACGCAAGUCUGACCCAGCAACGCCGCGUGAAGGAAGAAGGCUUUCGGGUUGUAAACUUCUUUUAAGGGGGAAGAGCAGAAGACGGUACCCCUUGAAUAAGCCAUGUCUAACUACGUGCCAGCAGCCGCGGUAAUACGCAGGUGGCAAGCGUUGUCCGGAUUUACUGGGUGUAAAGGGCGUGCAGCCGGAGAGGCAAGUCAGAUGUGAAAUCCGCGGGCUCAACUCGCGAACUGCAUUUGAAACUGCUUGCCUUGAGUAUAGGAGAGGUAGUCGGAAUUCCUGGUGUAGCGGUGAAAUGCGUAGAGAUUAGGAAGAACACCAGUGGCGAAGGCAGAUUACUGGGCGACAACUGACGGUGAGGCGCGAAAGCGUGGGGAGCAAACAGGAUUAGAUACCCGAGUAGUC
rnacentral:rRNA from 1 species